UUGCCCCCCUCGUGACCAGAUUGAACCAGGAGGAACCCUACGCUACCAGCUUCCAGCCGCCAUUCGAGCAGGAGAGAAGCCGAGCGAACAACAAAGGCCACCCGCCGGCUGCCGCGCAGCCACCCCGUCCAUCUGCUCGUCCGGCGAGGAGGCGACCCCUUCCAUCUGCUUGUCGGCGACCUCAUCUUCCCUGCCGCACCCCACCGCUCGUCCCGCGACCAAGCCCGGCGCCCCGGCCUAUCGUCCAGCCGUGCCGCCGUCCAGGUCCAGCGACGCCGCACCUACCGCUCGUCCGGCGACCUCGUCCUGCCUCCGGCCUCCCGCCAGGCCGCCACCGUCCGGCUAGCCGGCCAGGAAGAUCGAAGAAAAGAUGAACAAAAGAGCCAAGACAAUGACAUCUUUUUUUCAACCAGAAAGCACUAAUUCCAUAGUAACAGAAGCAGCCCCUGCAACUCGAGCAAGUGAUGACGUUCCUCGUGUCGCAGCCCAACUUAAGCCCGGUGAUAUUGAGCCAGACCCUGGUAAGAGAAUACCUAUUGAGAAUUUGGAUCCCGACAUUAGAGAUCUUGCUAGAAGGGAGUCAUCAGUAUGGGCCCUUGCCAACCAACUGAUCAUAAAUAUGAACGGAAAUGGGUAGGAAAAGGGUUUAGAAGCUUUCAUGAUUCUUGGUACAAAAAUCAUCGUGGUUGGUUGGAAUAUAGCGUUGAUAAAAAUGCAGCCUUUUGCUUUUAUUGCUUUCUAUUUAAGCAACCAACAGCUGACAACUUUGGUGUUCAAGCAUUCACUAAGAAUGGGUUUAAGAAUUGGAAGGAUGGACCUAAAAUUCUUUAUGAACAUGUUGGUAAACAUGACAGUGCUCAUAAUAAGGCUAGACAACACUAUGAGGCUUUCAAAAACCAGAGGCAAAAUCUGCCACAUGUGUUUGAUCGAGGUACUCAGAAGGAGGAAGAAGAAUACAAAGCUCGUCUCUUGAUUAUAUUGGGUGUUAUCAAAUUUUUGCUGCUACAAGGUCUUGCUUUUCGUGGACAUGAUGAGUCUACUAGCUCAAGGAAUAAGGGUAACUUUAAGGAGUUGUUGGGCUGGCUCAUAGAGAAAGACCGAGAUGCAUGAAAAUUGACUGGGGAUGCAGGAGCAAACCAUAAGCUAACUUCACCUGAGAUACAAUUGGACUUGCGCAAGGCUUGUGCAGAAGAGACCACCAAAACCAUUGUUGAUGAGAUUGGAGAUAGUAAAUUUUUCUUACUUGUUGAUGAGUCCAGAGAUGCAUCUAUCAAGGAGCAAAUGGCUAUGUGUUUGAGGCAUCUCAGCAGCCGAGGGGAGGUGAUUGAGAGGUUUAUUGCAAUCAAGCAUGUUCCUGACACACGGGCAACUUCACUCAAGAAAAAACAGCAUAUUGUUCGUGUCGUGGGAUUGAUUAAAACUACAAUGGACAAAAUGCAAGAGAUAAGGCAGAAUGGUUGGGAUGAGCUCUUCCAAGAGGUAACUAAUUUCUGUCUCAAAUACAAUAUUGUAGUGCCAAAUAUGGAAGAUACAAUAACUGCUAAUGGUCGUUCAAGAACUUGAGGUGGCCAAUUGGUAACUUACCACCAUCAUUUCAGAAAUGAAAUAUUCAAUGUGGUGCAUGAUCAAAUUAUUGUGGAAUUAAACAACCACUUUAAUGAAAGAUCUACUCAAUUGUUAAGAUGCAUUGCUUGUCUUGAUCCGAAGAAUUCUUUUGCCAAUUAUAAUGAAGACAAGCUUGUUGACCUUGCUAGUAUGUAUGUUGCUGACUUCUCUGCAUAUGAAGUUAGUUUUGUCCUUAGAAAUCAAUUGGACUCGUUCAUUCAUGAAGCAAGAGUUGAUCCACAUUUGAUGAAUUGUAAUGACCUUGGUCAUCUUGCCAUGAAGAUGGUUUUGAGUAAUAUGCACACAACAUUUCCGUUGGUUUACCGCCUUGUUGAGUUAGCAUUAAUAUUACCUAUUGCAACCGCAACGGUAGAAAGUGCCUUCUCAGCAAUGAGCAUUAUCAAGACCGACUUGAGGAACAGGAUGGGUGAUGAUUGGUUGAAUCACAUAAUGGUAUGUUACAUUGAGUGAGAUGUAUUUGUUAGUAUUGAAGAGUCAAAGAUCAUUGAGCGACUUCAGGGUUAUCGCACACGCAAAGGCAUUUUACCUUGUCCUAGAGGUGAAUCAUCUGUUACUAUUGAAGAUGUAAUCGCGGGAAGCUAAAAUCAAACAGCCUUUUGAUUUGACUCGUACUUGUGUUGAUAAUAGGCUUCUCUUGAUAGCUUCAAAGGCAUGAUAACCAUGGUCAUUGAUGACUAUGUUAAAAUGUAUACCAAGACAGCCUGGGCAACAUCAGUCGGAAGUAGACAUCAAAAAUAGCACCGACAUGAGUAAAAUUGACUAAGUGAAACGGUAUGUCCAACUGAUGACAUUGCUAACAUAAGCAAAUGCUUUCAUAAAGCAAAUAACCAUCCUGUGGCAUUUUAAUUAGCCUGGUCAGUACUGCAUGAAGGCUGACAACUGAUAUUUUACAAUUAUUCCCUCCAUUCAAACAAAACUAUUACUACGAAUGACUGAAAGAAAAAAAAAUAGCGGUGCCUCCUUCCCUUCCAUCCCCUCUCCACUGAGAGGUCAGCCAUGACCAUAGCUGAUUUAGAGUGAUGACAUAAAUUUCCCAUAUGAACAUGUUACAGGGAGGGAAAACUGCAGAAAUUUGUCAAAAAUGAAGUCGAAUCCACAUAAGCUCUGUAUGUAACUAUGUAUGCAGUGGUUUAGUGGCAGUGGCACGACUCUACUUAAGAAUGUGCAUGCUGACACAUUUUAAGAUUUAUGCAUGGUGUCUGCUCUCUGAUCCUAACAUAGCAUUGUUGUCUCUUGCCUUGCUAUGCACCCUUUUAGUUAAGCAAACAUGCAAAG